CAGAUACUCGUCUACUUGUGGUAAUAGGUUCAUCGUCUCUUGGAGCUUGCAUUCUUCUACCUAUUUUAGCUCUCUUUAUAUUCAUCAUCUUUAAGAACAGAAAAAAGAAACCAGCAAACAGAGACAUCGAUGUGAUUCCAGUGACACAUGAAGAAGGUUCAACCCAAGGUACACCAAUCCCAGGAGAGCUCAUGAGACCAGGAGGAGGCAAUAACAACCCAACUCUAACAGAAUCACAAGACAGGGGUAUUGACGGAUCGACCAACUCAUCCUCGACGAAUGGCGUCGCAACAAACACUGUCGUGACUUUAACAGAUCAGAAUUUAAAAGGGGAUCCUGUAUGACCCAUGUUGUUUAUUCUGUACAUGGUGAAUCAUUAUAAUGAGCUUUAAAAUCAAGCAAUGAGCAGUUUAUUUGUGAGAUAUGCAAGUGUGCUGAAAAACAAGCGAGCAAUGAGAGAAGAUUCGUUAAGAUGGCAUAACAGUAUCGAUGCUCUGCUCGACUGGCCAUGCAGUUCUGCUCAAGAUAGUUGGACGACGGUUCUUGUCAUUGACCGUAAGAACAUCAUCGGCUGAGAUGCUGAAAUAGCAGGAUCAUCAAAACAAAUGUAUUAAUAAAUAAGGAUUGGAUUAUCAAUGGCUCUUGAAAUAAUUAACGGAACACGAUGACUUUGUACCCGAACUUCUCUAGCAACCACCAGGACUGGAAAUCUAAGAGUGGCAUAUUUCCAGAAGAGAAAAUGGAUGGGCAAAAUAAUUACCCAAGACAUGAUUGCUGAUAUUUCCAAAGAUUUUGAUUAUGAUGAAGAAGAGUCUAAAAUUUGAUUAGAAUGAAAGAGACAUAGACCUGCAGUAAGUAGGUACAUCUCUCAUGCAAACAAGGAAACGUCGGAGUUCGACAGAAAAUUGAUAGCUUUAUGAAAAUGUGUUUUUGAGAGGCGUCGCUACUGAUGACGCUACAUUUUGAAAAAUGCCAAGAUGUAUAUCGUGACUGUAUGGUAAAAACUAGAACGUUGUGCCCUUCUUUGUUUUGAAUUAUUCAUGUCUGUCAAUCGGCAGACAGACACCGUGUUCCUGAAAAUUGGGGCUAUCAAAUCAGAACUGAUCAUAACUAUUUCAUAAAACGUUACAUUUCACCAGUCAUUAGCAACACGAUGCGAGUCAUGUCAUGAAAAUAUAUACGACAAUAUCGUUGUUCACGGUGAUGUUUGAUGAAUUUGAGUGCCCUAAAUUUGUUCCACUUUCUCCUUGCACAUGAAUAAGUGUGCGUGGAAGUGAUUAAUUAUGCAAUAGUGUAGUGUAAUAGAUGAGGGUAGAUGGGUUCAAAUUUCUCUACCUAAUAUGUGAUCGAAAAUUUAUGACCUUGUAUCGUGCGAUUGACAGAUGAGAAUAUCGCCAGCUGUUAGACAACAAAGGUAAGGGAAUGAUUUGCGAGAGUUUGGGUAAGGGGAAGAGGAAGGGAAAGAAAGUUGAGAUUGAAGGAUUGAAAUGGCGAGGAGGAGAUUAAAUAUAAAAUGGGGGAAUGAGAUGAGGUUGGGAGGGGGUAGGCAUAGGAUGAGAGUUGGGCGGGGAGAGAAAGUGGGUGUGAGAGAUGAGAGAGAGAAAGAGAGAGAGGGGGAGUAUGGUUAAGGUUAAAUCGAAGAGGAUGUGUAAAACUGUUAACAGGGGUCUGUAUGACCAAAAAAGAAUUAAAAAAUGCAGUGAAUAAACAGGGUAUAGACCAACGAAUAUAUAUAUUAUGGAUUGGAAUUAAUUUAUAUUUAUAUGAAGAAAAAUCUAAAUAUAUAUAUGAAAAUAUUAGCAUUAGAAUAGUAUGGUUAUACAGAACAAUUUUUCAAUAAGUAAGGGCCAUAGGCAUGCCAAAGGAAAGAAUAAUACAGAGCGUGCAAUAAAUAAGUCUACCGUAUACCAUUCGUGUAAACCAUUUUCAGCGGUGCUAUAUUUGUUCUUUUAAUUCUGCCUCCCUGUUCAUCACACGUAUGGCAUUGUAUUUUACAAAAGAGCAGCUGAAUAUAUAUAAAUGUCAAAUAUGCAGCCACUGGUAUACCGUGUAAGAAUUCUAGAAACACUGACUAGACAGGGUGGGUGUGUUAGAGUAGUAGAAUCCAGAUAUGCAUCUGUCUUUUUGUCUGUUGGGAAUAUUCGAUCGUUACAACUCUAAUGAAGAGAGUAACUUUACAGUGAAUUAAAAUUAAUGAAACGGGAUUGCGCAUAUACCGGGAAAGCUGGGGCAUCUUGAAGCCCCUUUAAAAUAAAGGGCAUAAGGCAAUAUUGAUACCUAAAUUAAGAAUUUAUGGCAUGAUCACAGAUAGAUCUACCUUUCAGCAUUCAACUUUAAACUCAGUAUUGAAAAUAUUUACGAUAACUUACAGGAUGAAUCGUCGAGACUCGAGUAACAAAUAACCAUUGUUAUAAUUACAGAUUAUUGUUGUUUAUAUUUAUUUUGUGGAUCUUUCCUGUAUUAAACAUUGUUUGUUCCAAAUUUAUAUUGUGUAUGAAACUUGAAAUGAGAGGUGAUGCAAUCAGCAUCCAAGCUGGGUAUUUUGCCCCUCUUGAGAGUUUUUUUUUUCAGUCUUUGUACAGGAAAUUAGGGCAGACUGUGUUUAAUGAUCAACUUAAAAUGUUGGGGUAUCACAGGUCGUUCUUAUUCAUCUUCCUCACCCCCAAACACUCCAUCCCUCUCUUUCAUUCUCUCUCCCUCCAUCCACUCUCCCUCUCUUUUCUCUCCAUCUCUCCUUAUCCUUCCAUCACAUUGUCUGAAUCUUGCACGACUGUCAAUCUUAAUUUCUUGUCGGAUUUCAGCUCAUCUUGCUCUAUUAUACUGUAUAGAUAAAUAUUCGAACUGAGUGAAUACUGUUGUAACAAUAAUCGGGUAUUGAAGAGUACCUAUCAACUGACACACGUUUCAUUGCAUUAUGAUUUCUUAAGCUUGGAAAAUGAUAUGUAAAAUUUGCUUUCAAAGAAGUAUAAUUAUAUGUCAGUAAUUGAUCAUUAAAAA